rnacentral:rRNA from 1 species
UACGUAUGGUGCAAGCGUUAUCCGGAUUUACUGGGUGUAAAGGGUGCGUAGGUGGUGAGGCAAGUCAGAUGUGAAAACUAUGGGCUCAACCCAUAGACUGCAUUUGAAACUGCCUUACUAGAGUGCAGGAGAGGAAAGUGCAAUUCCUAGUGUAGCGGUGAAAUGCGUAGAUAUUAGGAGGAACACCAGUGGCGAAGGCGGCUUUCUGGACUGUUACUGACACUGAGGCACGAAAGCGUGGGGAGCAAAC